GGUUGAUCCUGCCAGCAAUCAUAUGCUUGUCUAAAAGAUUAAGCCAUGCAUGUCUAAGUAUAAGCGAUUAUACAGCGAAACUGCGAAUGGCUCAUUAUAUCAGUUAUAAUCUACUUGAUCGAAUCUGUUACUUGGAUAACCGUAGGAAUUCUAGAGCUAAUAGAUGCAAAAAAUUUGGACCGGGGGCAACCUUGGGAAGAAUGUGUUUACUAGUCGAGAAGCCAAGAUGGGGCAUUCAACUUCGGGCAACCGAGGGUCUCAUUCAACAGACGAAUCAUAGUAAGUUUCACGCGAAUCGAGGGCUCAGGCCUUUGAUGAUGCAAACGAGUUUCUGCCCUAUCAACUUUCAACCGUAGUGUGGGGGACUACGGUGGUCGUAACGGGGUACGGGGAAUUAGGGUUCGAUUCCGGAGAGGCAGCCUGAGAAACGGCUACCACUUCCAAGGAAGGCAGCAGGCGCGUAAAUUAUCCAAUCCCAAUUCGGGGAGAUAGUGACAAGAAAUACUGAUGUAGGGCCUUUUGGGUUCUACUAUCGGAAUGAGUACAAUUUAAAACCAUUAGCGAGGAACAAUUGGAGGGCAAGUCUGGUGCCAGCAGCCGCGGUAAUUCCAGCUCCAAGAGUGUAUAUUAAAGUUAUUGCGGUUAAAAAGCUCGUAGUUGGACUAUGGGUCGGAGCGCGGGGUCCCCGGGGGCGUCAGUUCUCAGGAUGAAGGCCUCGUCCUUCCUUCCUUUUUUGCAAAACGUCAAACGCCAGCAAUGGUGGUUUUACAGGGUUUACUUUGAAUAAAUUAGGGUGUUCAAAGCAGGCGAAUCGCCUUGAAUACAUUAGCAUGGGAUAAUAAAAGAUGACCGUUGGUUCAUACUUUAUUGGUUUCUAGAACCGAGGUAAUGAUUAAUAGGGACGGUUGGGGUCGCUUGUAUUCAGUGGUCAGAGGUGAAAUUCUAGGACCCACUGAGGACAAACAAAUGCGAAGGCAUUCGACAAGGAUGUUUUCAUUAAUCAAGAACGAAAGUUGUGGGAUCGAAGAUGAUCAGAUACCGUCGUAGUCGCAACCGUAAACUAUGUUGACCUAGGAUUGGGGGAUGUUAAUAGAUGACUCUCCUAGCACUAUGUGCGAAAGCAUAAGUAUUCGAACUCCGGGGGGAGUAUGGUCGCAAGGCUGAAACUUAAAGGAAUUGACGGAAGGACACCACCAGGAGUGGAACCUGCGGCUUAAUUUGACCCAACACGGGGAAACUCACCCGGUCCGGACAUUGUGAGGAUUGACAGAUUGAUAGCUCUUUCUUGAUUUGAUGGAAGCCGGUGCAUGGCCGUUUUUAGUUGGUGGAGUGAUUUGUCUGGUUAAGUCCGAUAACGAACGAGACCUUAAUCUGCUAAAUAGUGCCGUUCACAGGGCGGUUCCUGUGUGCGUCGGGCUCCGGUUCGGCGUACGUGGGGGCUGCCGUUUGGUUGUGGGCGGUCUAUGAUACUUCUUAGAGAGACAGUUAACGAGACAUGAUAGUUAAAGGAGGCUUA
rnacentral:rRNA from 1 species